rnacentral:ncRNA from 2 species
UGGCCCCGCCGCGACUGGCGUUCGGAUGGGUGACCAUCAGGGAGCGGCACCUCCUCCGGGGCGCGCUCCGGACACUUUUCCCGCCGCACGCCUGGGCUGGAACG